UACGUAGGGGGCUAGCGUUGUCCGGAAUCAUUGGGCGAAAGAGCGUGUAGGCGGUCCGGGUAAGUCCGCUGUGAAAGUCGGGGGUCAACCCCUCGAAUGCCGGUGGAUACUGUCGGGCUAGAGUGCGGAAGAGGCGAGUGGAAUUCCUGGUGUAGCGGUGAAAUGCGCAGAUAUCAGGAGGAACACCGGUGGCGAAGGCGGGUC
rnacentral:rRNA from 1 species